rnacentral:rRNA from 1 species
AAUAGAUACCCGGGUAGUCCAUGCCGUAAACGAUGUCUACUAGCCGUUGGGGCCUUUGAGGCUUUAGUGGCGCAGCUAACGCGAUAAGUAGACCGCCUGGGGAGUACGGUCGCAAGACUAAAACUCAAAUGAAUUGACGGGGGCCCGCACAAGCGGUGGAGCAUGUGGUUUAAUUCGAUGCAACGCGAAGAACCUUACCUGGUCUUGACAUAGUAAGAACUUUCCAGAGAUGGAUUGGUGCCUUCGGGAACUUACAUACAGGUGCUGCAUGGCUGUCGUCAGCUCGUGUCGUGAGAUGUUGGGUUAAGUCCCGCAACGAGCGCAACCCUUUUCCUUAUUUGCCAGCGGGUUAAGCCGGGAACUUUAAGGAUACUGCCAGUGACAAACUGGAGGAAAGCGGGGACGACGUCAAGUCAUCAUGGCCCUUACGACCAGGGCUACACACGUGCUACAAUGGUCGGUACAAAGGGUUGCUACCUAGCGAUAGGAUGCUAAUCUCAAAAAGCCGAUCGUAGUCCGGAUUGGAGUCUGCAACUCGACUCC